UCAAAUGAGAGUUUGAUCCUGGCUCAGAACGAACGCUGGCGGCGUGCCUAACACAUGCAAGUCGAACGGAGUUAGUGAUGUAGCAAUACAUUGCUAACUUAGUGGCGGACGGGUGAGUAA
rnacentral:rRNA from 1 species